CAGAAGGGAGGGGCAGAAAUACAGUCCAGAAGAUGUAAUAUGUCUGGGUUAGAUGCCCCUCUUUGCUUUUUCUAUUCAAGUCUGAUAGAUGGCAGUGCCUCUGACACUGUGCUGUCAGUGGGCCACCGGCAGACAGAGCUGGACGAAUCUGCUCAGUCCUGGAUUCAGCUUAUAAAGAGAGCUUUUGUCAGCUUGGGGUGUUUUGUGGAUUGAACGGGUAGUUUGUCCGAUGAGGGACGGAUACCGCAACAAAGAAGAAUUCAAUGUCCCUGGGAAGUCUUCAUCAGUGGCUAAAGUCCAGGAACGGAGCCCAGAACAGGCAAGAGGAGCAGACUGGACUGGCCACAGUGAGAAUUUGGAGCUUGUGGACUAGCAAUGGACAGCUGGACUCUCCAGGGGGACAGCUACUCCUUCCUGCGUAGUGCCCCCCGCACCUUUUCCCUUUGCCAUCGUGACGGCACCCCCAACCACGUUGAAAUAUUCGACAUUAUCAACAUCCCUUCUCAGCGCAGCGCCAUCUCUGAGACCACCUGCCUGUGUGACAUUUUCGGAGACGACUGUGAGUCGGCGUCUCUCUCAAGCAGCCCCGCUGUAGGGCCCUUUGUCCCUUCCCAGAGGGAGGUGGAUGGGACGGCUGCUGCGUCACCUCUGUUGGACGAGCUGAACGAUUCCUCUGGCUCUUACCACACUGCACAGGGCUCCAGUGAAGGCGAGGAAGGCUUUGAAGAUUCGAGAGAAAAGUUUUACAGUCCCCCACUGCAGAGGCUUCUGGAGGCCAAAGGGCUGAGCUCUAGACAUCCAGAAGUUUCUGAGGACAGCAGCGCAAAUUCACAACCAAGAAGUAAAUCACCAGCACCUCGGCUUAGCACAGCCAGCCCUUCUUUCCAAAAUCCCAGCACUGGUGAGAGGACACCUUCUCCCGAACAUAACAGCCCCUGUAUCUUCAGUCCAGAGAGAAGACUAUCAUCUUUGUCCUCCUCCUCGGCUGAAAGAAGACCUUCAUCGUCCUCACCUGAUCCAAAACAAACGCUUUCACAAGCUGAACCAUUAAGAACAACUCCUUCAUUCAAAGACAGCAACAGCAGCCCGUCACAUCAGUCUCUAACUCCAAGUCCCUCUCUUGAACCCAGAAACUCUAUCAGCCAGUCGUGCUGUGAAUCGGUGGACCCUCAUUUUUUACCUGAGUUUGGAGUAGCACAAGACACACCUGAGCCAAAAACUGCUAACUUAAAUCAAAACAGUAGUCCAUCAGCUGAGCUCCCAUUCAAAGACUUUUCUCAGGAUUUUACAGAAUCAGCCUUUGAAUUAAGAACCUCUCAUUUAUCUCCUUCACCUUCACCCACAGAUUUAUUAUCUAAUUUAAGAGAAACACCAGACUCCCCUGAGCUUAGUCAUAGGUCCUCCUGCUCUGACACUCAGGCUUCAUCUCCUUUCCCUGAGCUACGAGGGAGGAUCUCUUUACCUGAUCUCUUCAGCAGAGGCUCUACGCCUGAGAUAAAAGAUUCUCCCCACACAUCAGGUCCCUCUACUGCAGAAAGAGAAACAGCAGCUACUCCUGAAAGCCAAAGGUUAUCAGUGGAAGCAGGCAGUUCUGUUUCCACUCCUGGCCCACGAUACACCCCUCCCUCACCUGUUAUUUCAAAAGCAUCAUCGCCUGAGCUUGUGGAGGGUUCGGUCUCACCUGAUUUCAGAAACACAGCUCCCUCGCCUGGCCUGCUCAGCGCUACCUGUCUGACCAGACCUGGGUCAACAACUCCCUCUCCUGAACGCUCACUAGAAAUACGACAGGUACCUUCCCCUGUGGUAAGUUAUAGUUUAUCUCCUUCACCUGCAUUUAGAGACAACUGCUCUCCCAUCGAGCACAGAUAUACUUCUCCCUCACCUGAAAUCAGGAUUACAGCCUCGUCUCCUGAGGUUGGCAGGAAAGAGCGACCUUUAUCAGCUUCUCCUCUGCUGGAGCCUCUCUUCGACACAUCCCCAACAAGAAGCCUCACUUCCUCCCCUCACAUCACAGGAAUUUCUUACUCUGUUGUUCAACCCGAAGACAGGAGCAGUCCCCCAUUUCCUGAACUCUCUCGUCUCCCCGUCCCAGAGCCAGAUAAUACACCCAUCCCCUCUGAAGAAAGGAGCCUCACCACAAGCAGAGACGAUAUAGCAGAGUCGACUGGCUGCUUCACAAGCUCUGCCCCAGAGACUGAAAAAACUCUGCUACAUCAUCCCAGGCACCAAACACCUUCACCUCAGCCAAAUCAUCGAACUCCCUCACCUGAACCAAGAUUUCAAAGUCCUUCACCUCAGCACAAAAGUAGAGAUCCAUCACCUGCUGCCUCUCCGCACAGGUGUCAGCUAUCACCAGCAACCCUCUCUGCAGACUGCAACCUUCCCCUUGGAUUAAAUACCCUUUCGAGUGAUAGGGACUCUUCUUCAGCAGUUAUCACAGAAACACAGUCUCCCACAUAUUUGAGAAAAGAGAGGGUGCCACCCUCAUUUGAGACAGUAACAAGGGACAAAUCUCCACCUUUGGUUGCUGAAAUCAAAGGCAGUUCACCAGCUCCUCUGCCUUUACCUCCUUUACCUAUUUUACCAGAUAGAAAGUUAGAUUGCCCACUAAAACUGCAAAGGGAAGAGAGAGAAGAAACAUCAGAGGAAGUAAAUAUAGAGGAUAAAUCAGGUGCAGCUUCUUUCCCUCAGGAAAAAACAGAUAUUCAUCCGCUCUUUUUUCAGAGAGAAGACACUGAUAAUAAUCUCCCUUCUGAAAUCAACUGUCCUUCUCCUAAUCUUCUAGUCCCCAAGGACAGGAGUCCAAACCUCUCACCUGUUCACGGGGCUAAAUCAAAUUCACCUGCACAGCCUCUGUUUGCUGCUCAUUCCCCAACUUCUGACAGUAGCAGCUCUUUAAAAUCUACAUCUGAGACCUCAAGAGGACAGCUGUUAACCAAAGUUAGACCUGAAAACAGAGAGAGGUUCACAGAGGACAUGUCCCACCAUGCAAACAGAAGGCGGACCCCCUCCCCGCCACUCACCAGGUUUACACCUGUCCACAUCAUUGCCCCUGAGAAACCAUACAGACAGUGGCAGAACAGAAGCCGCAGUCCCACUCAUGUUGGCGCAUCCUCACCUAGCGGCAAUUUAAAGAAGGCGGUGACAAAUAGGGAAAGCCCCGACAAUAAUAGCCAGGCCCACUGGGUCAGCCUAGGAAGGCAAUUGGAAAUGGAAAGGGGAAUGCCACUGGAGCAGGAGAGGCAGAGAGGCAGAGAGAGGCAAAAGGAUAGGGAGAUGGAAAGAAAUAGGAAGAGGGAGGAGCAGGUUCCUGAAACGGAAGAGGAGGGGUUGCAGGGGGACACCAGUUACAGAGGGGAACAGGUUGAGCUGUCAUUCAGUGCCAGGAAUAGAAAAGGACCUGCGAGUCGCGGUGCAGCUCCCACAAGCAGAGAGACCCGACAAGGGUUGCCAACAGCGCAUUCCUAUUCGGAGAGCUCGUCUGCCACAAGACAGCAACAACAGAGUGUUCAUAGACUCACUUCACAACAAGACACCAGGGGUUGUUCUGCCAUCAGACGACCUCAACCCCCUGCACCCCGAGCCAAGAGCAGUGCUCCCGGACGUGUGGCCUCAUACAGGCCCGGCCGAAGUUCCAGCUCCAGCAUGGGGAGUGAACUUGACGAGGCAGACAAUGAGGUGAAGUGGUUUACAGAUGUGGCUUUCCGCAGCCUGUCAAGCCCUGAUAUAGAUUACCUUGACAUGUACAACUCAAGCCACCACUCAUCCGCAAACAUCUCCCAGCCAUCUACCCAGGAGAGCCCGGCUGGGAUCGGCACUGCCUGGCAAGCCUAUGCUGACUUCAGAGGUUCUGUGCCAAAGUUGGACCAUGAUGAACUCUCCUCCCAGCAACCAUCUGCAUACUUCUCAGAUGGCUUAGAUCCAUCUAGGCGCUAUGAACUGGGCAGCUUUGAAUGCGUAGAUGUGGCUGUGGAAAGGGAGGACUCCAGGAAGCUGAGGAGAGGAGUCCCAAAGAGACAGAUCCAGCUGAAAAAGAGGAAUGAUGCUGAUGGGAAGCAAGACGGAAGCAGUGGAAAUAGCAGUCCUGGGCUAGCAAGCAUGGUGGAAAGCAACUCCCAGGCAAGUCAAUCGAGAGGGACGUUUGUGAGGCAACACAGUACACCAGCAGCAAUGCACGAGCACUACCCCUCUGACCACAGCCCUGAGCCCCAUCUUCCCAAUGUCAGAAAAUCCCAACUCCAGAAAUCUGCUUCUAUGGAUGAAACAUGCACUAAAACUCAGAUGGCUUCUUGCCUGAUCAAGAAUGUGUUGUCCAAAAAGAUGCAAAGUGCUGAUAAACAACCUGACGAACAAGCAGGCGAAGGAUUGAGCCCCACAUUUGAGAAGAGCAGUCCACCAGCUGAGAGUCAAGUGGCACCACUUAAAGAAUCACCAAGACCAGACAUACAUGACCUAAGUUCCAGUUUUCAAUCGGAUUAUAGCCUUUCAUCAGAGAGUAUUCCCAUGAGAGGGGAACCAAGCGCCAAGGAUGAAGCUAAACCACCCAGAAGCUUUGGUGUGAGAUCUAGUAACAGGCCGAGUUCAUCCAGCAGCUGCAGGAGUGUUACCUUUUCCCUGACUGACAGUGAAGAGGCCGAUUCUCAAAGCAGGAAUGCAGCGUUGUCGCGAUCUGAAAUGCGAUCAGAACUGAAGGUGCCAUUCGAUAGUAAGCAGCGCAGAAGUGGAGAACAACAAGCAGACUACAGCAAAACAUACAAAAGAGAGGGCGACAACUCAGCAAAUGCCACAGAAACUCCUUCUGCCGAUGCAGCCCACAGUGCACAGUUCAGACCAACAAAGAGAGAGGGCGUGUGUGAAAGCCGGGAGGAACCUAAACAGUUGCAACAGGGUGACAACGGCGCCUUCAUGUCUAAAACGCAAGAGAUCAAACUGAAAGCUGUGGGGAAAAAGAAAGCCUCUUUAAAUGUGUGUCUCACACCUGAAGCAGAAAACAAAUCUGAAAGUACUUCCCCAGAUAUAUUUUUUAGACAAAACACGGAUGAGAAAACAGAAGAAGAAGACGCAAACGAGAACAAUAAAGCAAAAGCCCCGCUUCACAAAGUUAGAGAUGUGAGGCGGCUCGUGAAGAAUACUUAUAAUCUGUCCUUUAAAGCAUCUAGUGCUGAAGAAAGUGUAGAAACUGCUGAUGAAAAACAUAAAGAAGAGGUCAUAGCAGCAGAGGAGAUGGAUUUAAGACAAGGGAUAAGGAGGGAGGAGAGGAGGGAGGAAAGAGCAGAGGAGUUCAUGCCGGAGAGGACGGAGGAAGAGAAGGAGGAGGUAAAAGACUCAAAAAUGUUAACCCCAUCUCCACCACCACACAGCAAAGGAAAGCCUCUGUCUGGUCCACAGCCAAUGCAAAUAGAAUACAAAGCUGUUUGCUUGAAGGAAGACAAAAAUAAACCAUUGCGUGUCAAAAAAGACUCAGGUGACAAACCCCAGGUUUUUUCAAAGCCCGUCACUGAUGUGAGCAGAGAAUCACAGUCUUUGAAUGCACCAAACAACACAGCGUCAGACACAGAAAUAUCCAGACCAUGUGAGCCUGAUGUAAACAUUACAGCAGAACCACAAGAGACACUGCCAGAAAUCCGCAAAGUUCCAGACAGUGAGGAUAAACCUGCGGUUGUAAGAACAGACAGGAAGCAUCACAUGCUUGGGAACCUCCCUAAAAUGCCCAGUAAGGAAAGAGAGGUGUCUACUGCUGUAGUGUUAAUCAGGGAAGGACCGAGCAAGACCAGGACAUCUGCAUCUCCCGCCCAGGAGAUGGAGAUCCAAACCCCAAUCCUAGCACAGCCUGCUUCAAUUUCACCUAAGCCCACUACCCCUGGUAGUGCCCCUGCUACUAGUGGCCACUCAGUGUCCAUGUUAUUAAAGGAGAAAGGCUACCAAGCUGACAUUGGAGCAGUUGUGGGUGACAGCCAGAAUGUAUCUGGAGUUAAAGGAGUUCCCCACAAGCAUGUGAACUCUCUGGAGAUCCCCCUUCAGAUCGUUGCUCCUUCUGACGGAGGUUGGAAUGAGUCUCAUAGAGAGAGGACAUUCUCCUCCUCUUCUACCACUUCUGUCCCCUCAGCAGUGUCUGACAGCACAGAUGCAACCACAAAAACCAGAGAAGAUGAGAGAGGUAGCAUAAAUCCUGCAGAAAAAGACACUGCAAAACUAAGGAGUUUUUCUCAGGAACAAGCCCCACCCCCUACCAAGCAGAGGGACGUGUCAGAUUUUGAAGCUGUAAAGAGAUUAGAUCCAACUUUCCCCCCGCGAUCCCCUGCAAUAAGGAAAUUCAAACCACAGCCGAUUCAGGUGAAAUCACUGUCUAAAGAACCACAGAAAAAAGACAUCCCCACAAGCUCUACUGGAAGCUCUACUGGAAACUCCAGUGGAAACAGCAGGCCUCAAACCAUUGAAGUUAAAUCCAUAGCUAAAAAUUCCCAAAAGCCAGUCGUGCCUCCAAAGCCGAACUGCAAAUUUAAACCUGCAGAUUUUGGCGUGACAUCAAAUGAAGCGCAUAGAUCGUCGGCAGCAACAUCAACUGCAAAGUCACAAAGUGACGAGAGGACUCAAACGAUUGUAGUGAGCUCGCCAACAAUCUACAGGAAGAUUUCCACUGACUCCACAUCAACAUCUAAUUUUUCAAGAAAACUAGCCGUGUCAGCAGUGUCCAGCCUCAAACCUCCGCCCAGCAAAACAACUUCAACUGCCAGCUCCAGUCUCUCAAACCAGUCAGCAGAACCUCCAGACUCAGAGGCUGCUAGUGACAGAGGGCAGAUGCAGCAACCAGCUGCCUCUCCUCAGACCGCCAGAUGUACACAAAAAGCUUUAACCUCAGUUCCAACAUCAGCCACCAGCUCAGGUGUAACCUCAGCUCCAGGUUCGGUUUCUGACCCGAUUGCAAGCCAAACUACCGUAUCCGCCUCAGCAGGAGUCAGCCAGCCAAGCCAGCCAAGCCAACCAAGCCAGCCGACUGUUAUGGAUCGCAACAGCCAGCUGCAGUAUCCCAGGGCAGCAAACCCUCAUCAACAACAAACUGUGCCACUAACUUCAAACAAUACAACACAGCCCACUGCUGUUUCCACAACACAACUGCCAAGAUAUACGCACCAGCCAUGCCACAGAUCUCUCUCCAGUGAGCGCUCACAGAGGACCAACGACCUGCAUUUUUAUGCCUCUGAUGACCCUCCAAGCUAUGAUGAACGAGAGAGCUUCAGUCCACUGACGCUCCCGGAUUUGACACCCUUGAGAUCAAAUCGAUUUCAGCCCUCCUCCCGUCCUCCUGCCUGCCCCUGCACAGCUGGUUGCCCCACUCACAUUGGUCUCCCCCCUCCUCACCAUCACCGAAGUCCCCAUAACCUCACCCCACCGGCCCCCACGCAUUCUCCGGGCCAGGCUCUACCUUACGCAGUGGCACAGCCUCCUCUUCGGCCCCACCAGUGCAGACCCGAUGCUCAGCCAAUGAGCUACCAGCCAGGCUCUCCCAAAUCAACCCCUUUUGGUCCAAACCAGCAGCCAACCAUGUACCAGCCUCUCCACCAGCCUGCUCCCUGCGCUCCUCACCCCUCACUCAUGCAGGCCUGCUCUGUGGACCGCUCGUUGCCCCCAACCCAGCACAUUGACCCUCGACGGCCUCCUGUGCACAGAUCCCCCCACCAGCAGCCACCGGGGCUGAUAACUGGGCCUCCUUACAGCGAUCCCAGCCACAAUCACUCCCCUGGCCUUCCCUCUAUGGAUCCUCAGUUUCUAUGUGGCACUCAAAGCAUGGCAGGGCCUUCCUAUGGCUCUGAAUAUGGGGGUGACAGCUCCAGUUUGUACUCAGAAAGCAGCUAUGGGCAGACACCUCGCAGAGUGCUCCUGGAUCCUGAAACAGGGAAGUACUUUUAUAUUGAGGUGCCUGUUCAGCCUCUGAGGAAGAUGCUGUUUGACCCAGAGACUGGCCAGUAUGUGGAAGUGCUCAUCCCACAGCAAACAAUGUCACAUUCAGGCCUGUAUCCGCCCUCCGCAGCCCCCUACCCACCCCUCCCUAACCCCAGCAUGUACGCCCCUGCUCCACAGUACAUGCCCUAUGCAGCUCCUGCUCCCCCAGCCCACCCUCAGGCCCAGCCCCAGCCACCCCGGUACCCUGAAGCAUCAGCUGCAGCAGCGAUGCACCCAAGCGGCUCCGGGGUCGGCUACAGAAAUCCCUCUGGUCAGGGUUCAAAGCCCGAGCCUCAGAAUCAUCCCCCAGUGGACCACAGCUACCUGGAGAGCAUGUAUUAUGUCCCUACAGGGAUGAAUACAAGCCCCAAUCCCACCCCACCAGACUAUUACCACAAACAUCCCCCCAACUUACCCCCAACAGGGGGGAAAAGGUCCUGAAAUAGAGGGUAGAGGCCGCCUUCCUGGAGCCUGUUAGGUUUAAAAUACACACUGUAUAAAUGGAGUGUCCAAUGUUAGCCUGUAAUGUUUUCACAUUGCAACUGAAGACAGCAAGUCUUUGGUUGUUUUAUUUUUUAUCUGCUGCCAUGUGCUAUGCCAAAUAGAUGACUCUUGGGUAUUCAAAAUGCAAACAAGAAGGCCUUGUGUUUGAGGCGCUCUUUAAAAGUACUAACAAAAAUGUGUAUGUAGGAUAAUCAGGUCGUACUCUAAAGUCACUAGUGAUGUGCAGACACUAUAAAUCCAUAGGUUUUUUGAUUAAUUGAGGUGUGUAUUUUCUCUACAAAUAUCUCAAAAAACGAAACAAACUUGAAAAUAGUGUUUUAAAAGAACCUCAUAUAUAUUUUAUGAUUGUGUUUCUCUUAAUUUGAUUAAGUUGGUGCACA
ensembl:lncRNA